ensembl:lncRNA
GAACAUUUGAGGCCUUUUUUUAAAGUAUUAGGAGCCACUUGAAAGAUGACCAACAGUAUUUGGACUUAAACUAAUGAUUAUAUUAAUUAUCAAAUAAUCUGCUGACUGUAUAAUGUGUAUUAAUCAAAUUAUUGUGCAUAAAAGACAGAAAGUAGUGUGUUAUAUUUCAGCAGAGCCUAUUGUGGGGUCAACGCAUGUCCUGUUUUAUCUGCCAAAAACCCACAAAUGUUCCGUUUUCAGUGAUUAAAAAAAAAAAAAAGCUGCAAAUCUUUACAUAGGAGAAGCUAGAAGCAGAGAGUGUUUAGCAUUUUUAGCAAGUUUUGCAUAUUUGUGCUCCAGCUACCCAGAUUUACAUAUUUGCUGUUGAGAAAUACUGUUCAGUUGUGGCUCAACAGCAUCUUCCAACUGUAGUAAAAAGUUUUGAAGCGACAAAAACUGUGUGAAAACCUUCAGACUCCAGACUGAGCUUUCCUGUGGAUGUAAAAAUGCCUUGUAACCUUGAGAUAAUCCAUUUUCACAUGAACUCUGUCAUAAAUCUAAAGUUCAUCAAAUGUUUACAUCCCUGAACGUGCAGGGAGCGAUUUAACUCUAGCUUGACGUUGUGCCCCAGCAGGUUGGCUCAGGAAGAAACAAAACAAAACAAAAUCCAGAUCAAUUUAACGUGAAAUAAAAAGUCAGAAAAACUCAAUUUCAGUCACACUUGUGCACUUGUUUUCAGAUAGUAAAAGAAAUUGUGGCAAAUUAAGUCCCCGCACUUCAGGUAACAAGCGUUAGUGAAUGUGGUCUCUCUCUGUUGAAGAGUUUUGAGUUGGUUUUACUGAACAGUGUUUAUUAGUAUUAGUCUGUUUUAAUUUUUCUUGUUUGUUUGUUUUUAAUGUGUGUCCUCUGUAUGUUUUUGUCAACAAUGGCAGUAUUAGAACCCUUUUCACAGAUUAAAAAAAAUAUACCUGUUUAGUUUCUAGAAGACUUUUUUAUAUUUAUGUGUCUUAUUUUUAUAUUUUCUUUUAUGGUUAUUUAUUACACAUUGUAGUGUACAUUACUGUAGUUUGAAUUGAUACAAUAAUAUAUUUUAGUAUGAAAAAUAAUCUCAAGACAAACAAAAAUUCCCAAAAUGUGGUUCUGGGAGAUGGAGUUUGUUUUAACAAAAAAGGAAAAAAAAAAAGAAAGAAAAAGUGAUAAAACAUGUAUUCUGUAAACUUGACUUAUGUUUUAAGCUACAAAAAAAGAAAAAAAAGGCAGGAAUGAAGUGAGAAAUAGAAACUGUUACAUGUGCAUCUGCUCUUUGCGUCAUUGUAAAGCUACUGAAUUCUAAAACUCUGUGAUUUUUAAAGCAUGAGUCGUCACCGUUUUAAUGAAGGAUCUUGUUAUGAAGACGUUACUCCUCCCGUUUUAUUUUGAAGCCAAAUUUUACAUCGUCCCGCUACCCAGUUUUCUGUUCUGUGCCAACUUGUUCCAUUGUACUGUUGAAGGUUUGCAUAAUGUUUGUCCCCCGACACGCCCCUUUGUAAAUCCACUGUCUUUUUGUAUUGUUUUUAUUUUAGGUUUGCUCCAUUUUUAUGACUCCCCAUCACAAUAAAAUGUAAGACAGCAGCUCUGAGUGACCUGAUUUUUACUUUUUAACUUCUUGUUUUGUCUGUCUACGAGAAUAAAAAGUGUUUUUGCAUGUUAGUUUGGC